rnacentral:rRNA from 1 species
AUUAGAUACCCUGGUAGUCCACGCCCGUAACUAUGCUCACUCGCUGUCGGCAAUACAUGGUCAGCGGCUAAGGGAAACCGAUAAGUGAGCCACCAGUGGAGUACGAUCGCAAGAUUGAAACUCAAAGGAAUUGACGGGGGCCCGCACAAGCGGAGGAACAUGUGGUUUAAUUCGAUGAUACGCGAGGAACCUUACCUGGGCUUAAAUGUAGAGUGCAUUACGUAGAAAUAUGUAUUUCCUUCGGGACUCUUUACAAGGUGCUGCAUGGUUGUCGUCAGCUCGUGCCGUGAGGUGUCGGGUUAAGUCCCAUAACGAGCGCAACCCCUAUUGUUAGUUACCAGCGCGUAAAGGCGGGGACUCUAGCGAAACUGCCGUUCUCCACCGCGAGGAAGCUGGGGAUGACGUCAAAUCAGCACGGCCCUUAUGUCCAGGGCUACACACGUGUUACAAUGGCCGGUACAGUGGGCAGCCACAUAGCGAUAUGGAGCUAAUCUCAAAAGCCGGUCUCAGUUCGGAUUGGAGUCUGCAACCCGACUCCAUGAAGGUGGAUUCGCUAGUAAUCGCGCAUCACCCAUGGCGCGGUGAAACGUUCCCGGGCCUUGACACACCGCCCGUCAAGCCAUGAA